GGAGAGAUGGCUCAGAGGAUUAGAGCAUUGACUGCUCUUCCAGAGGUCCUGAGUUCAAUUCCCAGCAACCACA
rnacentral:tRNA from 1 species